rnacentral:lncRNA from 10 species
CAAGAAAUCCCAUAAUUUGCUGUCUUCAAGUGGGAGACCCAGAAAAGAUGCUUUAGUUCCAGUCCAAGCAUGAAGAACCAAGGCCUGAGAACCAGAAGAGCCUCUGGUGCAUAGAUAAGGAAGAAAAAAGUUUUGGAAACUACUUCUGAGAGGGAAAAAUAUGCCUGAAAUUAACCAACAGCCAGCUUGUACUUAACAUACAAAAUAAACAAAAGAAUCAACUAUUGUGUAAGGAGAGAACCCCGAAAUGUUCCUCGUUAAUCGAAAUUCAAGAGUAUUAGCGUCGGGAAAGAUCUAGAGAGUCAACUCCCUCAUAUUAAAGAAGAGAAGAUGGAUUGCUGUCCUACAUUCAAAGGAGGCCAUUAGGAGCAUGAACCAAGGGAAGCUGGUUUUCCUUCUAUGCCUCUGCCAGGUUAUUAAAUCACCAGGCCUCCUAAUCAAGAAUUGCUCUUCGUGUGGAAGAACUCCUCUUCACCUGUUGCUUCCUCAUAUUAUUUCCUGCCUCAGAGAUGUAGAGGAACUGUAAAAUUAGAAUAGGAUGUUUGGGUCUAGACAAAUCCCAGUGAAAGCUAAAUUAUGGAAAUUUAGUCUUUGUAUAACAAAUGAAAACCCUAAGUAGGCUGCCAAGGUACAAAAGCUUUCUUAACCCGAGACAUUGCAAAUACAACGUACUAAGUGAAAAAAGGAGUGGGUGGGGAACAGUGGGAGUAGAAGGCUGUCUAAAGGGAAGCUAGGAAAAUGGAAAGUAAUAUGGAGAAGCAACAUGCUCCAAGUGGAGUGUUUUACUAUUUCAUUGCCUGUUGAACUGUACACAAAUAGGCACUACUACAUAAAAUAGCUAUUUGAAACAGUUAUGCCAUUGCAGGGUAGAACAUUACUCUCAAGUAAAGGCUUCUAACUGUACAAUUAAAGUCUCAAUCUUCUUUUUUUAACAGAAUUUCUC